rnacentral:rRNA from 1 species
GUAAUGCCUAGGAAAUUGCCCUGAUGUGGGGGAUAACCAUUGGAAACGAUGGCUAAUACCGCAUAAUACCUACGGGUCAAAGAGGGGGACCUUCGGGCCUCUCGCGUCAGGAUAUGCCUAGGUGGGAUUAGCUAGUUGGUGAGGUAAUGGCUCACCAAGGCGACGAUCCCUAGCUGGUCUGAGAGGAUGAUCAGCCACACUGGAACUGAGACACGGUCCAGACUCCUACGGGAGGCAGCAGUGGGGAAUAUUGCACAAUGGGCGCAAGCCUGAUGCAGCCAUGCCGCGUGUGUGAAGAAGGCCUUCGGGUUGUAAAGCACUUUCAGUCGUGAGGAAGGUAGUGUAGUUAAUAGCUGCAUUAUUUGACGUUAGCGACAGAAGAAGCACCGGCUAACUCCGUGCCAGCAGCCGCGGUAAUACGGAGGGUGCGAGCGUUAAUCGGAAUUACUGGGCGUAAAGCGCAUGCAGG